CUUGAAAGUCAUGCAGUACUAUUAGUCAAAACUCAAAGAGGUAUAACUGGGAAGUAAGUACUCUCCGGAAAUUUCCCUGGAAACCCCUAAUAAAACAGGAGAGCAGGAGGAGUUUGCUGUCUCUCCUCUCUAAGAUGACCCACUCUCUCGCUUUCUCCUUUGAGAGUAUUUCCUUUUUUCCUGAUCCUUUUCUGUAUAACAGACUCAUGCCUACUACUAUGUACAAAUUGCUUAAAAUUCUGCAAGCUAGAUCCCAAGAACCAGUGGUUGCAGAUCUUCAUGGUCACUUCAGUCUGUGGGCAAAUUCCCCUCUGUAACAUUGAUUUGCUGCUCAGGCUGAGAAGCAUUAAUCCUGUCUCAGUCUCCUGGGACUACAGGUACACACCACCAUACCUGGCUUCUAGAUUAAUGUUUAUUCAAAAAAUUUAAAAGUAUUUUCUUGUGUAGCUCAGGAAUAGAGCACUUGCUAGCAUGAACAGCACCCUGGGUUCAAACCUUAGUACUGCAAAAAUAAAUAAAUAUUUUCUUUCUCUACUACCUGUGUGGAGAGGAUUUCUGGGUUGGGAAAGUAUGAUUUUAACUAUAUUUCCCCAUUAGGAAUUAGGAGUCCGCUUCAAUAAAUAUUUGAAGGAAAAAUAAGUGACAGGAGGCAUCUUUGCUUAGGCAGAUUCUCUUUAUAGUAUUCUCCAUGAUUCCAGGAAAUUGGAAUAAAUACACUUGUCUGUCACUGUGGCUCGAGCAGGCCUGG
rnacentral:lncRNA from 1 species